rnacentral:ribozyme from 12 species
CGUGAUAGCUUCCUAUCUUUUAUAUAUAUAUAUAUAUAUAUAUAUAUAUAUAUUGACUUUGAAGCUGAAUUUUGGACAAAUUUCAG